UGGGUGUGGCAGGUGGUUGCUUGCGUGUUUUUUGCAAACAAAAAAGCGCAAGAGGAAAGUCCGAGCUACAUUAAGACGAGGAUUCCAUUUAACAAAUGGCUGGCGCAAGUCAAGGGAAAGUGCAACAGAAAAAAACCGCUUUUUAAGCAAGGGUGAAAAGGUGGGGUAAGAGCCCACCGACUUUUUAGCAAUAUCAAGUGCCAUGCAAACCCAAUCCGUAGCAAGAAGGGCAGGUUGGAAGUCUUAAAAUUUAAAGUCCUUUGCAUGAGGGGCAAAGUGAUUUGUCCCCUAGAUAAAUAACCACCCACGACAGAACUCGGCUUACGCCACGCCCAAGAU
rnacentral:RNase_P_RNA from 2 species